GUGUGUGUUAGUGGAAGCGUCUGGAAAGGCGCGCGAUACAGGGUGACAGCCCCGUACACAAAAAUGCACAUACUGUGAGCUCGAUGAGUAGGGCGGGACACGUGGUAUCCUGUCUGAAUAUGGGGGGACCAUCCUCCAAGGCUAAAUACUCCUGACUGACCGAUAGUGAACCAGUACCGUGAGGGAAAGGCGAAAAGAACCCCGGCGAGGGGAGUGAAAAAGAACCUGAAACCGUGUACGUACAAGCAGUGGGAGCACAGAGCAAUCUGUGUGACUGCGUACCUUUUGUAUAAUGGGUCAGCGACUUAUAUUCUGUAGCAAGGUUAACCGAAUAGGGGAGCCGAAGGGAAACCGAGUCUUAACUGGGCGUUAAGUUGCAGGGUAUAGACCCGAAACCCGGUGAUCUAGCCAUGGGCAGGUUGAAGGUUGGGUAACACUAACUGGAGGACCGAACCGACUAAUGUUGAAAAAUUAGCGGAUGACUUGUGGCUGGGGGUGAAAGGCCAAUCAAACCGGGAGAUAGCUGGUUCUCCCCGAAAGCUAUUUAGGUAGCGCCUCGUGAAUUCAUCUCCGGGGGUAGAGCACUGUUUCGGCAAGGGGGUCAUCCCGACUUACCAACCCGAUGCAAACUGCGAAUACCGGAGAAUGUUAUCACGGGAGACACACGGCGGGUGCUAACGUCCGUCGUGAAGAGGGAAACAACCCAGACCGCCAGCUAAGGUCCCAAAGUCAUGGUUAAGUGGGAAACGAUGUGGGAAGGCCCAGACAGCCAGGAUGUUGGCUUAGAAGCAGCCAUCAUUUAAAGAAAGCGUAAUAGCUCACUGGUCGAGUCGGCCUGCGCGGAAGAUGUAACGGGGCUAAACCAUGCAC
rnacentral:rRNA from 1 species